rnacentral:lncRNA from 1 species
GAACGAUUGGAUCACUCUAUAUUGACUAACCAUAAUUAAUAAGAUGUAGGUGAUGUUUGUGGAUGGAAAUAUAGAGCAACCCAACUUUUCGGUAAGGGAAAGGAAAUGUCAUGGUAUUACAUUAUGUUAAAUAUAACUAUGUUAUUGAAUAAAAUAUGUUAUUUAACAUUAAUAUAUAGUUUAACAAAAUCUUUACUAUUAAGCCAGUCACUUGGUAUCCUCCAAAAUGCAGCAAUAAUAGUGAUGGAAGCUCCUGGAAUUUGUAGAGAUUCAAAUGCAACAAUAUUGGGUUGGCUUUGCUCAAAAUCUUGGUAUCUCUUUUGCUCUUUAUGUAUAAUUGUGGGUACUAUUUUGGCUAUUGAAUUUGCAUUUAGUAUGGGUUGGCACUAUAAAUAACACUAUUGAUUGUGGAUUGAAUUUGAAUGUAUAAUAAAAGCAGUAAAUGACUAAAUAGAACCUGAAGUUACUUAAAUAUGUAACUGGAUCUCUUAAGCUUCAUGUCUUCUUGUUCUCGAUGAAUAGGUAUUUGCCAUUAAAUAAAAAUAACACAUUAUUUUAAUUUAAUUUUAUAAAAAUAAUACAUUAAGUUCACAUGUCAACAACCCGGGUUCGAGUCUUGUGGAUGAAAAAAAUGUCCGUUAGGAGAGUUAGCCCCACUUACCUGUGGAUGUUGCCGGCACGGACAGGAUUGCCUCCAGUGCGAGGAUACCUGUGGAAACCAAAAAAAUAUAAGGGAACACAACAUGAUUGUAGAUAUUAUCUCCAUCCCUUCAAUAUACGAAAUGAUAUCUUUUGUCCCAAAAGAUUGUAUCACUCUAUGUGUUCUUGUAUGAUUGACUAAAAAAAUAUUUAAUUAUUAAAUUUUUAACUUAAAUAAUUUUUUCAAUCAAUCACACUAAGUGGUAGAGAUAUUGACAAAUGGUAUGGUUCUUCCAUGGUGUACAUUUUGUCCCUUUUAGCUGCGGUAUAAUAGGUGGUUGAAAUAUCAGCUAUGUGGCAAAUCGGCAUUGGCUGUAUCUCAUGACACAUAAAUUAAUUAAAUGGGGACAAAUGUCCCUACAAUAACUAACCUCUAAAUCUCUUGGAAUACCCACUACCACAAUUUCAUUUUCUAUUUAUGAAUCCUCAUAAGAAUUAACGUCAAUCUCAUACAUAAUAUCUAUACACAAUGAAAUAGUCAAGAUGCAACAUUGUGUUCAGCACUCAAUAGUCAAUUUAGUAUAGCUAAUUAAUACAUCUAUAAUAUAUAUAAUUUUAUUUUGAAACAAUAUUUUUUUGUUAAAAGAUUUGACAUUGCACGUGAAUUUUCAUAUGAACUAAACUAAACAUUAUCAUAUAUCAUAUAGAACAUUGAAAUGAAUAUUAUGUAAACAAAUGUGAGUGAAAUUUCAUAUUGGAGUCCAUUUUCUAAGUUCAAAUAACAUAAUUUCACUGGGUGUUACUUUCAAAUGGAAAUGCUCAUUUAUUACAACACUUACUUUUAGUAAAAGGCUGAAAUAUGAGGAAUAUUUUAUAUGUUAUUUGGAUGGUAGGAAUUUGGAUUAUGAGGAUAAUCAAGAAGACCACACUCUUCAACAAGAAGGAAGCAAAUUUGGAUAACAGUGAAUGAGAUAAAACUUAAAUAAUGGAUCUGAAUCAGAAGAAGAUAUAAGUCUACCUAUUUUUCUUAGUUCGAAUGACUCCAAUCCAAUUAUUGCUAUUGUAUUUGGCUUUCGAGAUAGUGGG